rnacentral:lncRNA from 1 species
AAAGAUUUAAGAAGUGUUUUUCUACAACUCAUAUCUUCAUAAGUAUGAAGGGUAAAGAUUCUCAGAAUACAGUUCAUGGAUAUCUGAUUCUUAACAGGUAAGACAGAUACUGUCCAAGAGCAUUUCCAACAGGAUAAUAUUGAGUAGUGUAUCCUUCCAUGCACCUGGAAAGCCAGGAAUUAGAGAAAAGUAUGAAGAUGAGAAAGCAGUGUCAUCUGCUAUUGUUGCAGUGAUGGUACAAGCUCCAGCUUACCAAACUAUCAGUGGGCAGCAUACUGCCAUUACUCAGUGAGGAGCUUUAGAACUAACUAGUAAUGAUACUCUUGGUGCACAAGGACUGCAGAAAAGAUAACGGAUUAGAGGAGCCACUCUAUUGCUGGUGACGUACACAGUGCACUAUCUAGAGACCACUGAUGGGCAGAGAAUGCUAGCAGCCAGUAACCAGGUUGUGGUACCAGCUGUCACAGAAAAUGUGCCAUCAUCCCAGAUUGGCAUCCUCUAUCAGCAUUGUGCCUGGAGCGGGUAGGGCAUCUUUCCCAGGUCCAACUGCUCAGCUUUUCAAAAGGCAGUGGAGAAGAGAGAGAGGCUGGCCCAAAAAGAAACAAUGAAGCAUCAUGAGAAUAUUGUAGAAAGUAUAAGGAAAAUGGGAACAAUUUAGAAAAGAAAAUGCAGAACUUGGAAAAGCAAACAACUCUUUCAUUAAGGACAUAAAUUCACUUAAGAGGUUUGUUACGGAAAAAAA